CCUACGGGGGGCAGCAGUGGGGAAUAUUGCACAAUGGGGGAAACCCUGAUGCAGCGACGCCGCGGGAGUGAAGAAGUAUUUCGGUAUGUAAAGCUCUAUCAGCAGGGAAGAGAAUGACGGUACCUGACCAAGAAGCCCCGGCUAAAUACGUGCCAGCAGCCGCGGUAAUACGUAUGGGGCAAGCGUUAUCCGGAUUUACUGGGGGGAAAGGGAGCGUAGGCGGCAGGGCAAGCCUGAUGUGAAAGCCCGGGGCUCAACCCCGGGACUGCAUUGGGAACUGCCCCGCUCGAGUGCCGGAGGGGCAGGCGGAAUUCCUAGGGUAGCGGUGGAAUGCGUAGAUAUUAGGAGGAACACCAGUGGCGAAGGCGGCCUGCUGGACGGUGUACUGACGCUGAGGCUCGAAAGCGUGGGGAGCAAACAGGAUUAGAUACCCGGGUAGUC
rnacentral:rRNA from 1 species